GAUCCUACGGGGCGCAGCAGUGGGGAAUAUUGCACAAUGGGGGAAACCCUGAUGCAGCGACGCCGCGUGAGCGAAGAAGUAUUUCGGUAUGUAAAGCUCUAUCAGCAGGGAAGAAAAUGACGGUACCUGACUAAGAAGCUCCGGCUAAAUACGUGCCAGCAGCCGCGGUAAUACAUAGGGAGCAAGCGUUAUCCGGAUUUAUUGGGUGUAAAGGGUGCGUAGACGGGAAAUUAAGUUAGUUGUGAAAUCCCUCGGCUUAACUGAGGAACUGCAACUAAAACUGAUUUUCUUGAGUACUGGAGAGG
rnacentral:rRNA from 1 species